UAGGGAAUCUUCCACAAUGGACGAAAGUCUGAUGGAGCAACGCCGCGUGAGUGAAGAAGGUUUUCGGAUCGUAAAGCUCUGUUGUUGGUGAAGAAGGAUAGAGGCAGUAACUGGUCUUUAUUUGACGGUAAUCAACCAGAAAGUCACGGCUAACUACGUGCCAGCAGCCGCGGUAAUACGUAGGUGGCAAGCGUUGUCCGGAUUUAUUGGGCGUAAAGCGAGCGCAGGCGGAAUGAUAAGUCUGAUGUGAAAGCCCACGGCUCAACCGUGGAACUGCAUCGGAAACUGUCAUUCUUGAGUGCAGAAGAGGAGAGUGGAACUCCAUGUGUAGCGGUGGAAUGCGUAGAUAUAUGGAAGAACACCAGUGGCGAAGGCGGCUCUCUGGUCUGCAACUGACGCUGAGGCUCGAAAGCAUGGGUAGCGAACAGGAUUGAUACCCUGGUAGUCCAUGCCGUAAACGAUGAGCGCUAGGUGUUGGGGACUUUCCGGUCCUCAGUGCCGCAGCAAACGCAUUAAGCGCUCCGCCUGGGGAGUACGACCGCAAGGUUGAAAC
rnacentral:rRNA from 1 species